rnacentral:rRNA from 1 species
CAGCCCUUGACAUCCUCGGAACUUACUAGAGAUAGUUUGGUGCCUUCGGGAACCGAGUGACAGGUGCUGCAUGGCUGUCGUCAGCUCGUGUCGUGAGAUGUUGGGUUAAGUCCCGUAACGAGCGCAACCCUUAUCUUUAGUAGCCAGCAAGUUAAGUUGGGGACUCUAGAGAGACUGCCGGGGAUAACUCGGAGGAAGGUGGGGAUGACGUCAAAUCAUCAUGCCCCUUAUGUCUUGGGCUUCACGCAUGCUACAAUGGCCGGUACAGAGGGCUGCAAUACCGCAAGGUGGAGCGAAUCCCAAAAAGCCGGUCUCAGUUCGGAUUGAGGUCUGCAACUCGACCUCAUGAAGUCGGAGUCGCUAGUAAUCGCGAAUCAGCAACGUCGCGGUGAAUACGUUCCCGGGUCUGUACACACCGAAUCUAGAGCAUCGGAGCAAC